GGAGUUAGCUCAGUGGUAGAGUGCUUGCCUAGCAAGCGCAAGGCCCUGGGUUCGGUCCCCAGCUCCG
rnacentral:tRNA from 1 species